ACACACGGCGGGUGCUAACGUCCGUCGUGAAGAGGGAAACAACCCAGACCGCCAGCUAAGGUCCCAAAGUCAUGGUUAAGUGGGAAACGAUGUGGGAAGGCCCAGACAGCCAGGAUGUUGGCUUAGAAGCAGCCAUCAUUUAAAGAAAGCGUAAUAGCUCACUGGUCGAGUCGGCCUGCGCGGAAGAUGUAACGGGGCUAAACCAUGCACCGAAGCUGCGGCAGCGACGCUUAUGCGUUGUUGGGUAGGGGAGCGUUCUGUAAGCCUGUGAAGGUGUGCUGUGAGGCAUGCUGGAGGUAUCAGAAGUGCGAAUGCUGACAUAAGUAACGAUAAAGCGGGUGAAAAGCCCGCUCGCCGGAAGACCAAGGGUUCCUGUCCAACGUUAAUCGGGGCAGGGUGAGUCGACCCCUAAGGCGAGGCCGAAAGGCGUAGUCGAUGGGAAACAGGUUAAUAUUCCUGUACUUGGUGUUACUGCGAAGGGGGGACGGAGAAGGCUAUGUUGGCCGGGCGACGGUUGUCCCGGUUUAAGCGUGUAGGCUGGUUUUCCAGGCAAAUCCGGAAAAUCAAGGCUGAGGCGUGAUGACGAGGCACUACGGUGCUGAAGCAACAAAUGCCCUGCUUCCAGGAAAAGCCUCUAAGCAUCAGGUAACAUCAAAUCGUACCCCAAACCGACACAGGUGGUCAGGUAGAGAAUACCAAGGCGCUUGAGAGAACUCGGGUGAAGGAACUAGGCAAAAUGGUGCCGUAACUUCGGGAGAAGGCACGCUGAUAUGUAGGUGAAGUCCCUCGCGGAUGGAGCUGAAAUCAGUCGAAGAUACCAGCUGGCUGCAACUGUUUAUUAAAAACACAGCACUGUGCAAACACGAAAGUGGACGUAUACGGUGUGACGCCUGCCCGGUGCCGGAAGGUUAAUUGAUGGGGUCAGCGCAAGCGAAGCUCUUGAUCGAAGCCCCGGUAAACGGCGGCCGUAACUAUAACGGUCCUAAGGUAGCGAAAUUCCUUGUCGGGUAAGUUCCGACCUGCACGAAUGGCGUAAUGAUGGCCAGGCUGUCUCCACCCGAGACUCAGUGAAAUUGAACUCGCUGUGAAGAUGCAGUGUACCCGCGGCAAGACGGAAAGACCCCGUGAACCUUUACUAUAGCUUGACACUGAACAUUGAGCCUUGAUGUGUAGGAUAGGUGGGAGGCUUAGAAGUGUGGACGCCAGUCUGCAUGGAGCCGACCUUGAAAUACCACCCUUUAAUGUUUGAUGUUCUAACGUUGACCCGUAAUCCGGGUUGCGGACAGUGUCUGGUGGGUAGUUUGACUGGGGCGGUCUCCUCCUAAAGAGUAACGGAGGAGCACGAAGGUUGGCUAAUCCUGGUCGGACAUCAGGAGGUUAGUGCAAUGGCAUAAGCCAGCUUGACUGCGAGCGUGACGGCGCGAGCAGGUGCGAAAGCAGGUCAUAGUGAUCCGGUGGUUCUGAAUGGAAGGGCCAUCGCUCAACGGAUAAAAGGUACUCCGGGGAUAACAGGCUGAUACCGCCCAAGAGUUCAUAUCGACGGCGGUGUUUGGCACCUCGAUGUCGGCUCAUCACAUCCUGGGGCUGAAGUAGGUCCCAAGGGUAUGGCUGUUCGCCAUUUAAAGUGGUACGCGAGCUGGGUUUAGAACGUCGUGAGACAGUUCGGUCCCUAUCUGCCGUGGGCGCUGGAGAACUGAGGGGGGCUGCUCCUAGUACGAGAGGACCGGAGUGGACGCAUCACUGGUGUUCGGGUUGUCAUGCCAAUGGCACUGCCCGGUAGCUAAAUGCGGAAGAGAUAAGUGCUGAAAGCAUCUAAGCACGAAACUUGCCCCGAGAUGAGUUCUCCCUGACUCCUUGAGAGUCCUGAAGGAACGUUGAAGACGACGACGUUGAUAGGCCGGGUGUGUAAGCGCAGCGAUGCGUUGAGCUAACCGGUACUAAUGAACCGUGAGGCUUAACCUU
rnacentral:rRNA from 1 species